rnacentral:lncRNA from 1 species
CGUUAAAAUACAAAUAUGCCCAGCCAAUCAGAGAAAUUGAGGGUGGAGCAGCACUGCUGAUCCUUUCGUGAAAGUUCGUAUGUCAAAUUUCGUUGCCGAUUAGCUACGGAAAUUGAAAAUUAAGGCAUUGGUUUUGUUUAACUUAACUAUUCCAGAUUGUAUUUGCUUUGCUUGCUUCCUAAUAAUUGAUUUAAUUAUCAAACAAUUAUAUCAACUUUGCGACUAUUUGAGUGAAAAUUCAUAGUGUACAGUGUUGAGUUUUUACUCCAUUAUCUGCACAAUCCAUAUCUGUGCUGGUUUUGGGCUCAAAAACAAACAAUUUAGUGUUUGAGUUUCAUUACCUUUCAAUAAACUUGCCAGUGUUUCUAGUGCAUAAUUUCCUUCCACUUAAACCAAUGCACUUAUCUGUUGCUGUCUGUUAGACAAUUAUGGCAUCACUAAGUCAACAAUCUGUGAAGUUUGUGAUAAGGAAUUUUCAAGCACAUCUACCAGAAACAGGCAUUGGAAAAAGUUUCACCCUGAAUUUGUUGGGAAGGAACAAACAAAACACAUUAUAUGUCCAAUGUGUACUAUUGAUAUCCAGACAUUUUCAUAUUUUAACUGUUUAAACAAACAUUUGCUUGAUAUUCACCAUAUAACUGUCAAAGAAUGAAUUUUAAAUUUUAGGAAUUUUGAAGAAUUCACAUCUUAGAGGGCACAAGAUAAUAGGGAAGUAGAUUAUGCUUGUCAGACCCGAAACAAGUUUAAGAAUGGGGAAGAACACAUAUUUCACAAUUGCAACAGGAGUGAUAUCAGAGGAUUUAAUAGCGCAUGCAAAGUGAGAAGUCUGGGGGAAGCAUUUACAUUCAAGGAACAUGUCAACAAGACCAAACUCAAAUAGCUAUCAGCAUAAAAUUGUAAUAGAAGCCCAUAACAAAGCCGAAAAAAUGAAUGGUUCCCCAACUGUGAGUGAAGAGGAUAAUGUUUGGUUUUUUGAUCAACCCACAACUAGCCAAAUCAAUUAUCAGGAGGAUGUAAACCAUUUUAUUCAGGAGAGUUCAAAAAUGAAAGUCAAUAGUUCUGCAAUGGACUUUGAAGAAAAUCGAGAAAUUGCAUUGCAAGAAAUUUGUAGCUAUGGUAGAAGUUUAGAUAAAAAUGCAUUUGCCAGAUUUAUGGCUGUAAUCAACAAAUUUAAAAAUAAAGAAGUGGAGGAAGAAAAUUGUCAGGGCAUUGAAAAGAAAAGAAAAAUUGAAAAACAAAUGUACUAUCCAAAUAAAAAAUAAGCUAGAUUUCUUUGUGUAUUUAAUGGCUAGAUAAUAUUUGAAUUGUAGCUAUUUUUUUAUGUUUGUAUAGCUGUGAAGUUAACAAAAAUAGGAUGUGGUAUUUUAUAUGGUAUUUUGUGUUAUAAUCAGUAUAAUAUAACUAAGUAUAUUUUUUGUAAGGUUUUGGUGCAGGUUUCAAAUUGUAAAUACAAAUUUUAUGUAAGAGGUCAUAUACAUAACUAGGUAUAGUUUUUGUAAGGCUUAAUUUGGUGUAGGUUUUAAAUUGUAAAAACAAAUUUUAAGAUGUCAUAGGUGUUGGUUUCUGUAUUACUAUUUUUAUAUCUUUUAUAUCUUUUAUUUUAAGACUAAAAUGUUAGCUUAUUUUGUAUGUUAAUAUUCAACUAAUCAUUUUCUUUGCUAUGUUUUUAAUAUUUUUUAGGGUGCAGAAAAGCUAAUUGGAUUAACUUAAAAUUGACAUGGAACGAGGGGGAAGAUCCUCUUUUGAAUGGUUUGGGCUGUAUAUACAUGACCAGCAGAGAUGGCAAAUAAGCUAAAGAAGUGAGAGUCUACAUACUAUAUACCAGAUUAAUACAUUUAGCCUCUUAGCAUUUAAUUUUGAGGUUGUUGAUAUUAAAAAUACCAUAACUUAUUAUAUUUAAAUAACAAAUAAAUUUAUAGAUUUUUUAUUAUUUGAAAUAAACAAAGUUAAAAUAUAAUUUCUAUGUUUUUUUUGUUUUCUGUUCUUAUACUUUGACUUUUUAGUCAUGUUUACCCUUUAUCCAGCUUUUCCAACCAUAUAUAUACUUUAU